rnacentral:rRNA from 1 species
UACGACUACAUAUCAGGCAUAUCAAUAAGCGGAGGAAAAGAAACUAACAAGGAUUCCCUUAGUAACGGCGAGUGAAGCGGGAAGAGCUCAAAUUUGAAAUCUUCAAGGUUUUACCUUGACGAAUUGUAGUUUAAAGAAGUGUUUUCUGUUGAAGUUUUGGUAAAAGUUCUUUGGAAUAGGACAUCAUAGAGGGUGAGAAUCCCGUAUUUGACCAUUAUUUUCAGCUGUGUGAUACACUUUCAAAGAGUCGGAUUGUUUGGGAAUGCAGUCCUAAAUGGGUGGUAAAUUUCAUCUAAAGCUAAAUAUUGGCGAGAGACCGAUAGCGAACAAGUACCGUGAGGGAAAGAUGAAAAGAACUUUGAAAAGAGAGUUAAACAGUACGUGAAAUUGUCAAAAGGGAAGCGUUUGACACCAGUGUUGUUUUCUCGAAAAUCAAUUAAAAAAAGUUGGAUUUUGUGUUGUAUUGACCUUAACAGCUUGCUUCACUCUUUUCCAGCUUUUUUUAAUGCACUUUUCGUUUAACAAGUCAACAUCAGUUUCUUUUGUUGUAAAAGGGUCAUUGGAAGGUGGCUUUCUUUUCGGAGAAAGUGUUUAUAGCCUUUGGCCUCUGCAAUCGGAGAGAUUGAGGUCUGCAGGCGUAGAUCCUUCGGGGUUAGAUACAUUUGUGCUAAGUUAUAGCCUUUCAUAGACAACUUGUUGACUAUGAUCAGUCAUGUAGCUUACUCGCUUAUGCUAUUUUACCUACGCUUAGGAUGUUGAGCGCAUGUCUCUCUCU